UACAGAGGGUGCAAGCGUUAAUCGGAAUUACUGGGCGUAAAGCGCACGUAGGUGGGUUAGAAAGUUGGAUGUGAAAGCCCCGGGCUUAACCUGGGAACUGCAUUCAAGACUACUAGCCUAGAGUACAGGAGAGGGAAGUGGAAUUUCCGGUGUAGUGGUGGAAUACGUAGAUAUCGGAAGGAACACCAAUGGCGAAGGCAACUUCCUGGACUGAUACUGACACUGAGGUGCGAAAGCGUGGGGAGCAAACAGG
rnacentral:rRNA from 1 species